AUUGAACGCUGGCGGCAGGCCUAACACAUGCAAGUCGAACGAGUGGCGGACGGGUGAGUAAUGUCUGGGAAACUGCCCGAUGGAGGGGGAUAACUACUGGAAACGGUAGCUAAUACCGCAUACCAUCGGAUGUGCCCAGAUGGGAUUAGCUAGUAGGUGGGGUAACGGCUCACCUAGGCAACGAUCCCUAGCUGGUCUGAGAGGAGGACCAGCCACACUGGAACUGGUACACGGUCCAGACUCCUACGGGGGGCAGCAGUGGGGAAUAUUGGACAAGGGGCGCAAGCCUGAUGCAGCCAUGCCGCGUGUGUGAAGAAGGCCUUCGGGUUGUAAAGCACGUUCAGCGGGGAGGCGUUACCCGCAGAAGAAGCACCGGCUAACUCCGUGCCAGCAGCCGCGGUAAUUC
rnacentral:rRNA from 1 species